rnacentral:rRNA from 1 species
UGGGGAAUAUUGCGCAAUGGGGGGAACCCUGACGCAGCAACGCCGCGUGCAGGAAGAAGGUCUUCGGAUUGUAAACUGUUGUCGCAAGGGAAGAAGACAGUGACGGUACCUUGUGAGAAAGUCACGGCUAACUACGUGCCAGCAGCCGCGGUAAUACGUAGGUGACAAGCGUUGUCCGGAUUUACUGGGUGUAAAGGGCGCGUAGGCGGACUGUCAAGUCAGUCGUGAAAUACCGGGGCUUAACCCCGGGGCUGCGAUUGAAACUGACAGCCUUGAGUAUCGGAGAGGAAAAGCGGAAUUCCUAGUGUAGCGGUGAAAUGCGUAGAUAUUAGGAGGAACACCAGUGGCGAAGGCGGCUUUCUGGACGACAAACUGACGCUGAGGCGCGAAAAGUGUGGGGAAGCAAAACAGGAUUAGAUACC